UGGGGGAUCGUCUAAUGGUAGGACAACAGACUUUGGAUCUGUUUAUCAUGGUUCGAAUCCAUGUCCCCCAG
rnacentral:tRNA from 1 species